rnacentral:rRNA from 1 species
AUUAGUGGCGAACGGGUGAGUAACACGUGAGUAACCUGCCCUUAACUCUGGGAUAAGCCUUGGAAACGGGGUCUAAUACCGGAUAUUCACUUCUUCACCGCAUGGUGGGUGGUGGAAAGAUUUAUUGGUUUUGGAUGGACUCGCGGCCUAUCAGCUUGUUGGUGAGGUAAUGGCUUACCAAGGCGACGACGGGUAGCCGGCCUGAGAGGGUGACCGGCCACACUGGGACUGAGACACGGCCCAGACUCCUACGGGAGGCAGCAGUGGGGAAUAUUGCACAAUGGGCGCAAGCCUGAUGCAGCGACGCCGCGUGAGGGAUGAAUGCCUUCGGGUUGUAAACCUCUUUCAGUAGGGAAGAAGCGUAAGUGACGGUACCUGCAGAAGAAGCGCCGGCUAACUACGUGCCAGCAGCCGCGGUAAUACGUAGGGCGCAAGCGUUAUCCGGAAUUAUUGGGCGUAAAGAGCUCGUAGGCGGUUUGUCGCGUCUGCCGUGAAAGUCCGGGGCUCAACUCCGGAUCUGCGGUGGGUACGGGCAGACUAGAGUGCAGUAGGGGAGACUGGAAUUCCUGGUGUAGCGGUGAAAUGCGCAGAUAUCAGGAGGAACACCGAUGGCGAAGGCAGGUCUCUGGGCUGUAACUGACGCUGAGGAGCGAAAGCAUGGGGAGCGAACAGGAUUAGAUACCCUGGUAGUCCAUGCCGUAAACGUUGGGCACUAGGUGUGGGGGACAUUCCACGUUUUCCGCGCCGUAGCUAACGCAUUAAGUGCCCCGCCUGGGGAGUACGGCCGCAAGGCUAAAACUCAAAGGAAUUGACGGGGGCCCGCACAAGCGGCGGAGCAUGCGGAUUAAUUCGAUGCAACGCGAAGAACCUUACCAAGGCUUGACAUGAACCGGAAACGGCCAGAGAUGGUCGCCCCGCUUGCGGUCGGUUUACAGGUGGUGCAUGGUUGUCGUCAGCUCGUGUCGUGAGAUGUUGGGGUUAAGUCCCGCAACGAGCGCAACCCUCGUUCCAUGUUGCCAGCGGGUUAUGCCGGGGACUCAUGGGAGACUGCCGGGGUCAACUCGGAGGAAGGUGGGGACGACGUCAAAUCAUCAUGCCCCUUAUGUCUUGGGCUUCACGCAUGCUACAAUGGCCGGUACAAAGGGUUGCGAUACUGUGAGGUGGAGCUAAUCCCAAAAAGCCGGUCUCAGUUCAGAGUGGGGUCUGCAACUCGACCCCAUGAAGUCGGAGUCGCUAGUAAUCGCAGAUCAG